UUGCCAUUUCCAUGCUUGCUAUCACCUUCAUACUUCUGCACAUGAAGUUCCCAGUGUCCCUCUGUCCACUUCGGAUUUCUAUUCUUCCUUCAGACACCGUCUUCUCAGAGGUCUUCCCCGACCCACCUUUCUCCCCUCACCAUUUCCCCAAACAGCGCAGUGAAGCUGCUGCUCAGCUGUGCUGGGUCUUUGCAGCAAUGACAGGGUGAGCAGGUGGUGCAGCCCUGCGGACGGAGGAGAGCUCGGGGCGGGCAAGGCCCCUCUCCUCGGGGACCCCGCAGUCUCAAUAGAUAGGCAAUGGCAGGGGCUGCGGGGCACCUAUCCCACAGGGGCGCCUCCAGAUGCUUCCAGCUCUGGAGAGGGAGAUGCCAGGUAUGAAACAAUCAGUGAUUGAGAUAGAAAUCUCCCGGUUUAUGGGGCAAGUACUCAGAGGAACUUGAGUCUGGAGUGCGGCCAGCGUUCCAAGCGUUCCCCACACUUCAGACCCGGCUCUCUGGUGCCACCUGUUGGAGAAAUUGUUUUACUGAUGGGCACCUUCCCUGCCCCCAAAGAAUUUGGGAACAAACACGCUUAUACAUGUUUUAAAAAGCAUUAAACUAAGAGGCAUUCUCUCAAAUGAGUCUAAAUGCAUUUUAUUUUUAGACAACCUACAGGACAUGUUUUUUUCUUAA